rnacentral:tRNA from 1 species
GGUCCUAUGGCUUAGAUGGCAAAGCACCUGCCUAGUAAGCAGAAAAUCACGAGUUCCGAGUCUCGUUGGGACCU